UGCAGAUGUAAGUAUUUCCAACUGUCCUUAGUCAAUCUCGCACCGAUUGUCGCACAAACUGAAGAUGAGGCAGCCGCGUUUAGCUUCGCGGCCAUUAUUUGACCCUGAUUUCACCGGCAGAUGUUUGUCGGCUCAAGACUCUAGAUGGCUAGCCAUGCUUGGAAUGGGAGCCAGAGCGUUCCUGUGUUGUCUCGAUGGAGCAGGAAGAGAAGAAGUGGUGACUGCCAUGUCUCGAGUAUUGGCGGCAAGAUUUGAUUCCCCUCGUGCAGCAUCACUGGCUGUCUAUUGCUCCUGUGGCCAGCCAAAUCAAAUAUCUGCUCGAAAGUGGGACAUAGAAGAAUUUCACCCAUGCAUACUUGGAUGUUCAAACUGAGAUCGUAAAGUUGGAAAAUUCUUGAUUUUUAGUGAUGGAGAUCUUCACUUUUCUUUACAUUGAAAUUCGUUUGAAUGGGUAGUUGUAACCUUGAGAGGUGGACACCAAUCAUGUAGAUUCAUAGAAGGGUAUGUAGAAGGUAGAAGCUGUCUUCCCUGUGCUUGGACACGAGCUGCAAUUUUGGUUCGAAAGUAUUUGUCUCCCUCCCUCUUGCAGGUAAUCUGGUCAAUCUAUUUAUUAUUCCUUCAAACCAGAACUCAGAAGUACUCGUCUCCUUAACUUUCUUCUGAUAGCUUACUCAUACAUCGGGCAACAUCACAGAGCACCAUCACCUUUGUAUGUGGAGACUCUGGAAAGCUGGACUAGCUGCUAGACAACCCGAUGAUCUCAUAACGCAGAUCUCCGGUGGCCAUUCUUCGACCCCAAUUUCAUCGGCCAGAUGUUUGCCGACACCGACUCUAGAUGGCUAGUCUAUCCAUGCUUGGAAUGGAAGCUAGAGCGUUCCUGUGUUGUCUAGAUGGAGUUGGAAGAGAAGUGGUGACUGGUGAGAACCAGAGAAACUCCUAUCCAUGUCUAAAGUAUUGGCGGCAGGAUUUGAUUCCACUCGUGCAGCAUCGCUGGUUGGUAAGCUGGCAUGUUUAGGCGACGGAGGACAAGAUUCACUGGAGGAGUACGAUUUGUUCAACGUUUUAUCCCCCAUUUUUUUCAGAUUGAGCUACGUGCCUACGGUGUGAGAUGCAUCAUCAUUUUAUAAUCAAAACGGUAAUCUGCUCGCUCUGUUUCCUUCAGACCAGAACUCAGAAGUACUCGUCUCCUUAACUUUCUUCUGAUAGCUUACUCAUACAUCGGGCAACAUCACAGAGCACCAUCACCUUUGUAUGUGGAGACUCUGGAAAGCUGGACUAGCUGCUAGACAACCCGAUGAUCUCAUAACGCAGAUCUCCGGUGGCCAUUCUUCGACCCCAAUUUCAUCGGCCAGAUGUUUGCCGACACCGACUCUAGAUGGCUAGUCUAUCCAUGCUUGGAAUGGAAGCUAGAGCGUUCCUGUGUUGUCUAGAUGGAGUUGGAAGAGAAGUGGUGACUGGUGAGAACCAGAGAAACUCCUAUCCAUGUCUAAAGUAUUGGCGGCAGGAUUUGAUUCCACUCGUGCAGCAUCGCUGGCUGGUAAGGUAUCCGAAACAUUUGGUAUCUCAUCUGAGUUUUAUAAUAUGAUACUCCCUCUGUCUCAUAAUAUAAAAACGUUUUUGGCACUACAUUAAUGCCAAAAACGUUCUUAUAUUAUGGGACGGAGGAAGUACAUAUCAAGAUCUCAAAAAGAAGCCAAGUUUCGUGCAACUUUCCUUUUUGCUGCACACGCGCAUCCAGUUGCUUAUCGCUGUGCUAUGUUACAACUGCUUGGAGAAAAAAAAUUCAAAUAAAUGGGGCUCGACAGCGCGACGGCUGGUGCGCGGGAUGGUGACGGCGUCGGCUGGUGUGCGGCGGCUGUGGGGGUCAAGUCGGGUGGUGGCGCGCGGGACGGCCACGGCCAGAUCCGGCUGAAUCUGUCGUCGGCGGUCCGUCGUGCGGCAAGGGCUGCGGGCAGCAUGGUUCGUGGUGUGCUCUUCCCUUGCUGCUUGACAGGGGUAGCGGUGGCAUGGUGGCGGAGCGUGCCGGCCGGAUCUGACGCUUUUUUUCCGGUGAGAGGCGCUGGUUGGGGCACCAGCCCGGCGUAGCUGCUGCUCCGGCUGUGGGCAGUGGCGGCGAGGUGACUCGGCCCUCUGGGUGGCUUUCAUUCGCCGGGCCGGCAGCAGCAGCACUGGCUAUCCGGCGUUGGCUCGUUUCGACCUUCGAUCCCUUUCCUUGUCGUCCGGUCACUACCUUCGUCGAAGGGUGGCCCCUCCCCCAGUUGUGGUCCAUCGCUCGUCUCGCGCCCGGCUGCAGGACCAGUUUUGGCCGAGCGCUGGGGGUCGUCCAAAUGUGAAAGGUGGGUCCUUUCCGCUCGUAUCUUUCGUUGGGGUAGCGGAGGGUCUCUGGUGAGGUGGUGUCAAGGUCUUGGAUGCCGGGGUGGCGGCCCUGGUGGUGGUUCUGCGGUGCUCAUGGGCAGAGUCCGUGGCUCAAUGUUGCCCGAUGGCCAUGGUCGUGUGGGCGGCGUGGUUGCCGGGGUGUGACGUUCGGUGGCGAUGUGUGUUGGCCGGGGUGAAAACCUGAUCUAUCUUCGGAUGGACCGGUGGCGGCGAAGCUCGUUCCCUUCUUGAAGGCGUUGUCGUGGCUCUCAUUACCCGUCGUGUUGCUCCAGGGGAAACUCUGAUCCCCGAGUCGGGCGGUGGCGGCGCUCUGGUGUCGUAACCUUCCUGAAGGCGCCGCCUUGGAGCCCACGAUUCGUCAUAUGCGGCUUCAUCUCUUUGUGGUGGUGUGCUCACGGUUGAGGACCCUGGUUGCUCUUGUAGUGCUAGGGGUGGUGUUGCUGCGAUCAGCGCCUAUGUAUCCUGCCUUGGGUGUGUGUGUG